ACCUACCCUUCUUUCCCGACGCUGCCCUAUCAGGAGCAGAGAUUGCGUCGGCUUUGCAGGUAGAUGGAUCGCUUCAGAUUGGUGUUGUAAUGGCCGGCUUGAAGGCAUCGAACGAAGGGGGUUUCUUGGGCCAAAGAGUUGCAUCAGGCGUUACUGUAGCUAUGUCUAUGAGCCAUUUCACGGUGGAUUUGCUAUGGAACCCAACAGAAGUGUACCAGCACAUAGUAUGUUGGUGUGUACCAAUGUUUCGAUGAGGAAGAAAAAGAGGGUGAAGAGGAAGGGAUGGCGAAGGAACAAAGGAGAACGGAGGA